rnacentral:rRNA from 1 species
GACGAACGCUGGCGGCGUGCCUAACACAUGCAAGUCGAACGGAAAGACCCUGAUUUUGUGGCGUUCUCGAUUGGCGAACGCGUGAGUGUCACGUGUGUAUCCUCCCCUUGUCUUUCGGGGAACAUCACGAAACUGCGGCUAAUACAGGAUAGGAGCUCCUGAACCGUGGUGGGCGUUGGAAAGUUUCGGCGUUUGGGGAUGGACUCGCGGCUUACUAGCUUGUUGGUGGGGUAGUGACUUACCAAGCCUUUGACGGGUAGGCGACCUGAGAGAGUGAUCGGCCACAUGGGAACGGAGACACGGACCAGAGUCCUAAGGGAGGCAGCAGACGGGAAUGUGAGGCAGUAGGCGGGAGCCUGACACAGCGAGGCCGCGUGAGUGACGAAGGCGCUCGGUUCGUAAAGCCCUGUUAUUAGGUAAGAACAGCUGUGGCCGUAGACGAAGCGGUAUUGACGGUACCGAAUAAAGAAGCACCGGCUAACUACGUG